rnacentral:rRNA from 1 species
GUUGUAUAGUUAAGUGACUAAGCGUACAAGGUGGAUGCCUUGGCAAUCAGAGGCGAAGAAGGACGUGCUAAUCUGCGAAAAGCUUGGAUGAGUCGAUAAGAGGCGUUUAAUCCAAGAUAUCCGAAUGGGGAAACCCAGUAGAUGAAGAAUCUACUAUCACUUACUGAAUACAUAGGUAAGUGAGGCAAACCGGGAGAACUGAAACAUCUAAGUACCCCGAGGAAAAGAAAUCAACCGAGAUUUCGUUAGUAGCGGCGAGCGAAAGCGAAGGAGCCUGUUAGUGAUAAUGACAGAGACAGAGGAACAAGCUGGGAAGCUUGGCGACACAGGGUGAUAGCCCCGUACUCGAAGUCCAGGUCAUGGUACUAAGCUAACGAUAAGUAGGGCGGGACACGUGAUAUCCUGUUUGAAGAUGGGGGGACCAUCCUCCAAGGCUAAAUACUCCUGAUUGACCGAUAGUGAACCAGUACUGUGAAGGAAAGGCGAAAAGAACCCCGGUGAGGGGAGUGAAAUAGAACCUGAAACCUUGUACGUACAAGCAGUGGGAGCCCUUUUGGGGUGACUGCGUACCUUUUGUAUAAUGGGUCAGCGACUUAUAUUUUGUAGCGAGGUUAACCGAAUAGGGGAGCCGAAGGGAAACCGAGUCUUAACUGGGCGGCUAGUUGCAAGGUAUAGAC